UUUAUGCUCAGAUAUUUAGAUUAUCUUUUUUUCAUUCUACUAUAAAUAUUUUAGGAAUAUCCUUAUCUAAAACUCUUUGCACAGCUGAUAAUUCAUUGGAGUACAUUUUGACAAGUGGAAUUACUGGGUCAAAGGGUGUGAACUGUUUUAGGCAUUAUAAGCUAUCUAGCCUGACUGAUUUUCAAAAAUGUAUCUCUAUUUAUAUUCCAAAUGAGGAUCCAUCUGAUGAUAUCUUCAUUAGCAUAGGAUAUUUUAAAAACUCUUGCUAAUUUGAUAAGUUAAAAUUAAUCAAUUGCUCAUUGGGUUUUUUUUUUGUUGUUGUCAGUGGAGAUGAACUUGUUUUUAUAUUUCUAUUCCCAUCUCCAUUUCCUCUACUCUUUCUUUCCAUACUGAGCAAGUUUGGAUUAUAUCAUGGACACUCUACUGUUACAUUGUAAAGACUCUGGAUUCUUCUCUAUUUCUCCAAAAAGUGUUGACCUCCUUAAGUAGGCAAUUAACAUGCCUCAAAAUACAAACUCUCUCUUGGGUAGAAACUCAAAUCUCAGUUCAGUUAUUUAGCUUUAACUAUUCUGCUUGUAAUCUGUUUCAUGCAUACAUGGCGUAAGAGUCAACCAGAUAUCUGGAUAGACUCAUGCACAGAAUGCAGGGCUUCCUUUCCUCUCUGGUUCUCUCAUUUCCAGUAGUCACCCUGCCCCUCACUUUCUAGCACCCAUGGUUGCUCCAAGAUCAGUUCCAGCUUUUAAAUCUGUUUUAGCCAACCUGAAUGGCGCAGACUAAAGCCUGCCUUCCAGCUAAAAUACACACACACACACACACACACACACACACACACACACACACACACACACACACACACACACACACACACACCCAGACACCCCCACACACACCCAUGGGAGAAAACCACCAAGAGCCAUUCCCUUUUUCCAAAUAAUUGACUUUCCUUCAAAAUGUGCUUGUGUCUGUUCACUCUUAAACCUUUAGAUUGUUAUUUUUAUGUUAUUGUGAUUAGAGUUGUUAUCUGCAGAAGAGUUUACUUGGCCACUACUGAGAAGAAAAUCUCCAGGACUAUCGAUAAUUAAUUUUCACUUCUACAAAGGGUUUUUUCCUCUUUUUUUUAAAACAAGAUGUAAUUCCCAAGUACAUCUCAAGAAAGGUAAGUUUCUCAGAAUUCCAGUCUUUCUCUUUGAACAUAUUUGGGGAAUGUUUCCUACAAAGGUUGCUCCUGGUAACUGGAGCUGUCUAGUUAGCUUCAAACAUCCACAGAAAACUGCACCUGAGCUCAUACUGAACACGGUAACAAUGGCACCGGGGGACUGGAGUGCCCAGAAACCAAUUAAGGCUGUGGUAAAGAAGGGAUUUUCUUCAAUGGCUAAUGGAGACCAUAAACAGAGGCUCUGACCACAGAGAAUUUGAUGCUGGCCACCCUUUCUUCUUAAGUUUGAACAAAGAUCAGUGACCAAGAGGCCUAAGCUAAUGUAAGCCCCAGGUAACUUUCAUGUUUGUAUUACUUCAUGCUUAGCAACAAUCGCUCAUCUAUGACUCCCUGGCACAAGGAAAUACGACACUCUGCAACAACAAGGUAUUUGUUAAGAUCCCCACGUUCCUUUUCAUCUUAAAAGGAUGUUAGAACUUACCUGUUUUAACCCAUCAUUCUACUUAUCAGAAACCCACAGUUUAAAACAGGGAAGACCCACCCAAGAUAACACAGGAAGGGGAAGAGCUGCCAUUAGCAGGCUGUUACAGCAUCUCUCAUUUUGCAGUCUGACUUUUAGCGACACAUUCAAGGUUUCAGAGAUGCUGCUACAUGAUGUGUCCUCAACCUUCCUUAAGGCUAAACUCUAAAGUGUUCUGAGUGGAAGAAAACAGUCUGCUCGGUGAUGCAAUCACAAUCUCCUGAAUUCAGCAAGAUGACAGUGUGAUCACUGCAUUUAAUGGUUGGCUGUUCUCCAAAAUCAGGUUGGCAGAUGAAGAAACAGAUGUAGCGAGGCCAAGUAAUCUGCCCAAGGUCAAGUGAGUGACAAGGCUUGGACUCCCACUCGGCUGUGUUUGACUCGGGAGCCUGAGCUCUUAACCAUGCAUUGUUCUGUCUCAUGCUGCCCUGCACAGCCUCAUAAUACCCCGAGGAGAAGACUCAACAUGAAAUAGCAUUUGGCUGCAUUCCAAUCAGUCAACACAUUCAUCACCAGCCACACAAAGAGAGCAGGUAGGCUGGACUCCCUGUGCUGAACAAAACAAUUCAGGCAAAUGCAGGCACUGACCUCUAACUCGAUUUGGAGAUUUAGCAUCUCUAUCUUGAAGACCUCCCUACAUCUCAACUGCUCUGUUUCAUGGGACCUUUUGUUGAUGGGGUCAAGAGGGGUCAAAGGGAAUUUAUCUUUUUAGUUUUUGUAUUCUUUUAUGAAAAAAAUUAUUUAACCAUCA